GAGAGCGAGAUCUUUGUGGUGUAACAUAAUUUAUUUAUUGAAAGUAUAUGCUUAAACAUAAUGACAUCACAACCCUCUCCGCACCCAUCCCCCAGCAUACAUGCAUGCUUGCAUCUUUUUUCUAGCAAAACACAGGAAAUUGCUUAGUGAGAUCUAAAGAAAGAGAAGAGAUGCAAUUAUCACCAUGGUUAUCAAUUCAUCACCUAGUCGUCGGCUAGUCGACGCCUAGGCAUCUGAGCGGUAGCGAGGACCAAGUCGAAGGGACGACUUGGGUGAAGUAGCUAAGUCGUGCAACUAGGUGAAGAAGUUGUCGCCAAGUUGUGCAACUAGGUGAAGAAGUUGUCGCCUUGGGUCACCUAGGCUACGCCUUGGCCAACUAACUUCCAAGGCGCACGAUCUGGAAAAGAACAAAAAAUGAAAAAAGAAAAGAAAGAAGAAAAGAAAAAUCGCCGCUGUCGGAGGCUUCAAUCGCCAUUGCCGGAGUCAUCGUCGAAGUCGAACACUAUUGUUGAUACUGAUCCCUCUUGAUUUCGUCAUACCAAUUGUCUGCUGCUUCUUUUGUGUAGGAAAACUACCGAUCACUACUUAUUUUGUCUAGGAAAACAAAAAGGCAACUGAUAAAAAUAUCUUGACAAAAUACUGUUUAGUUCCCCAUAGUUUUCUUAAACUUUUAGAUCUAGUCCCUUAAGUUACAAACUUUUCAUUUGAGCCCUUAUUUUUCUUUCAUAAUCACCCCCAAGUUUUUUGACUUUAUAUUUUAACCCCUAGACCCCCAUAUUUUGAGUGUUAGCCCUGUUCAAUAGUUUAGUUUGCAUUUAGGUACUUAGGUCCUAAUAAAUGUUUAUUAUUUAUAAAUGAGAUAUAAAUGUGAAAUAUUAUCAUGUUUUUGUUUUUAAUGAUAUUUAAGAGCAUUGCUUGUGAAGUAGUAAUAUAUUUGAUUAUUUGUGAGCAAUUUCUUCUAUAUUUAACGUAAUUGAAGUAAAGUGUGUAUAAAAUUUACAUGUAUAAAAUUACAUAGGAAAUAACUUGUCGACUUAUGAAACACUAGUCGGGUGCCUAGUCGACUAUGCUCCCGGCCACUGACUCAACUCGACUUAAUGACUUCACAACUAUGAUUAUCACUGGGGGUUUCCAUCUCUGUAUGCCAAAUACAUAUAAUAAUGGUUAUUAACAAUAGAAAACAUGGCAGUCGUGGAGAAUAUUGUUGACAGAUUGGUCUUGUUCUGAUUAUACUCUCUCCCAAUUUUUAUUUCUUCAGAUUCAUCUGCUCCGUAUUCCUAUCACCAGAUAUCAGAAAAUCAUCAUGAUUUCACAACUCCAGAUGGGACAUG
rnacentral:lncRNA from 1 species